AUUGAACGCUGGCGGCAGGCCUAACACAUGCAAGUCGAACGAGUGGCGGACGGGUGAAUAGUGGCGGAGAAACUGCGCGAUGGAGGGGGAUAAGUACGAGAAACGGUAGCUAAUAGCGCAUACCAUCGGAUGUGCCCAGGUGGGAUUAGCUAGUAGGUGGGGUAACGGCUCACCGAGGCGACGAUGCCUAGCUGGUCUGAGAGGAUGACCAGCCACACUGGAACUGAGACACGGUCCAGACUCCUACGGGAGGCAGCAGUGGGGAAUAUUGCACAAUGGGCGCAAGCCUGAUGCAGCCAUGCCGCGUGUAUGAAGAAGGCCUUCGGGUUGUAAAGCACUGUCAGCGGGGAGGCGUUACUCGCAGAAGAAGCACCGGCUAACUCCGUGCCAGCAGCCGCGGUAAUUC
rnacentral:rRNA from 1 species